UACAGAGGGUGCAAACGUUGCUCGGAAUCACUGGGCGUAAAGGGCGUGUAGGCGGGAAGGAAAGUCAGAUGUGAAAUCCCCAGGCUCAACCUGGGAACUGCAUUUGAAACUCCCUUUCUUGAGUACCGGAGAGGAAAGUGGAAUUCCUGGUGUAGAGGUGAAAUUCGUAGAUAUCAGGAGGAACACCAGUGGCGAAGGCGGCUUUCUGGACGGUAACUGACGCUGAGACGCGAAAGCGUGGGGAGCAAACAGG
rnacentral:rRNA from 1 species